rnacentral:rRNA from 1 species
AGAGUUUGAUCCUGGCUCAGAACGUACGCUGGCGGCACGCCUAACACAUGCAAGUCGAACGAAGUAGCAAUACUUAGUGGCAGACGGGUGAGUAACAUGUAGGUAUCUGCCCUUUGGCCUGGAAUAACACGAGGAAACUUGUGCUAAUACCGGAUAAGUCUUUACGGAGAAAGCUUUAUGCACCAUUGGAUGAGCCUGCACUUGAUUAGUUUGUUGGUGGGGUAAUGGCCUACCAAGACUGUGAUCAAUAGCUGAUUUGAGAGGAUGAUCAGCCACAUUGGGACUGAGACACGGCCCAAACUCCUACGGGAGGCAGCAGUGGGGAAUCUUGCACAAUGGAGGAAACUCUGAUGCAGCGAUGCCGCGUGAGUGAAGAAGGCCCUUGGGUUGUAAAGCUCUUUCGUCGGGGAAGAAAAUGACUGUACCCGAAUAAGAAGGUCCGGCUAACUUCGUGCCAGCAGCCGCGGUAAUACGAAGGGACCUAGCGUAGUUCGGAAUUACUGGGCUUAAAGAGUUCGUAGGUGGUUGAAAAAGUUAGUGGUGAAAUCCCAGAGCUUAACUCUGGAACUGCCAUUAAAACUUUUCAGCUAGAGUAUGAUAGAGGAAAGCAGAAUUUCUAGUGUAGAGGUGAAAUUCGUAGAUAUUAGAAAGAAUACCAAUUGCGAAGGCAGCUUUCUGGAUCAUUACUGACACUGAGGAACGAAAGCAUGGGUAGCGAAGAGGAUUAGAUACCCUCGUAGUCCAUGCCGUAAACGAUGUGUGUUAGACGUUGGAAAUUUAUUUUCAGUGUCGCAGGGAAACCGAUAAACACACCGCCUGGGGAGUACGACCGCAAGGUUAAAACUCAAAUGAAUUGACGGGGACCCGCACAAGUAGUGGAGCAUGUGGUUUAAUUCGAUGAUACGCGAGGAACCUUACCUAGGCUCUAAUGCGCGCGCUACUCUGUGAAAGCAGAAGUUCCUUCGGGACGCAAAGCAAGGUGCUGCAUGGUUGUCGUCAGCUCGUGCCGUGAGGUGUUGGGUUAAGUCCCGCAACGAGCGCAACCCCUAUCUUUAGUUGCCAGCACGUAAUGGUGGGGACUCUAGAGAGACUGCCGGCGUAAGCCGUGAGGAAGGUGGGGACGACGUCAAAUCAUCAUGGCCUUUAUGCCUAGGGCGACACACGUGCUACAAUGGCGUGCACAGAGGGUAGCCAGACCGCGAGGUUGAGCCAAUCCCAGAAAGCACGUCCCAGUUCGGAUUGGAGUCUGCAACUCGACUCCAUGAAGGUGGAAUCGCUAGUAAUCGCGCAUCAGCCAUGGCGCGGUGAAUACGUUCCCGGACCUUGUACACACCGCCCGUCAAGCCAUGGAAGCCGAGGGUGCCUGAAGAUGGUGACUUUAUUGAGAGCUAUCUAAGGUAAAAUUGGUAACUAGGACUAAGUCGUAACAAAGGUAACC